rnacentral:rRNA from 1 species
UACGUAGGGUGCGAGCGUUGUCCGGAAUUAUUGGGCGUAAAGGGCUCGUAGGCGGUUUGUCGCGUCGGGAGUGAAAACCCAGGGCUUAACCCUGGGCUGGCUUUCGAUACGGGCAGACUAGAGGUAUGCAGGGGAGAACGGAAUUCCUGGUGUAGCGGUGAAAUGCGCAGAUAUCAGGAGGAACACCGGUGGCGAAGGCAGGUCUCUGGGCAUUAACUGACGCUGAGGAGCGAAAGCAUGGGGAGCGAACAGG